UACAGAGGUGGCAAGCGUUGUUCGGAAUUACUGGGCGUAAAGAGUGUGUAGGCGGUGCUCUAAGUCUGUUGUGAAAUCUCCCGGCUUAACUGGGAGGGUGCGGCGGAGACUGGAGUGCUAGAGUGUGGGAGAGGUAAGCGGAAUUCCUGGUGUAGCGGUGAAAUGCGUAGAUAUCAGGAGGAACACCUGUGGUGUAGACAGCUUACUGGACCACGACUGACGCUGAGACACGAAAGCGUGGGUAGCAAACAGG
rnacentral:rRNA from 1 species